GAGCUGGCAAGCUCUCCCGGUCUCCCAUGGCCCGCAAAGCGAAGGCUUAGUCCAUCAGAAGCCGGAAGCUAGUCUCAAGAGAGUCAGUGGCACUAAGUCACUGCUGGUGCCCUGCAUGCUAGACAGAAAACCCUUUCAGGGCAGCAUCAAACGUCUAGACUGCAAAACACUGCUCUCCAUCACAUUGAAGAGCUCCGGCCCAGGGCGAGUAGCAGCGCAUGGGAAAGAGAGUGAAGCCUGUGUGCGCUGUGCUAGAGUCGCUCCACCCUCUCCUCUUCUGUUUGCUCUGUGCAGCCGCAACUAAACACGCAGAGCCCAGGGUAGCCAAGGAAACUUGGGUGGUGGAAGCGUUUCUCAUUAGAGCGGUGGGGGGAGUUGGUGUGGGCCCCACAACCACCGUCUCCACCACACCGCACAUCCCCGCUAUGGGACAGCUUCCAGAGAGCUCUCCAGCACACAGGAGCCUCCUGCCCUUGCCAGGGCACCCAAAGGCAGGGGAUUCCACUAGACACUCGCCUCUGAGCUCAGGUCACUACAACACGGGGCAGCUUAGCUCCCAGGACACUGAAAGCAGGCUUCUAUUGUUCUAUUCCAGCUUCUAGUUUCUAGACAGUUGUGGGGAUACGUAUGUACGCAGUGGCCACAGAUGGAAAGCUAGAGUCAGCAGCUAUUUCUAUAGGGACAGUUGGGGAGGUCAACCUCAGAGCGAGAACGAGUGCAGACUGCUUCUGAGGCUUCAGGGCAUCAGAAGCAAUGGCGUUUGGACUGAAGGUCAGAGGUGGGGAUGACGGGGCAGUCUCCUAACAUUAAGGGCUGACAUAAACUGACGUAAGUCUGUGCCCAGCACUCCUUGUCCAUUCUACCGAAAAACUGGGGUUUUCCAGAAACUCCAAAAUGCAAUGAGGAACCAGACAAGACUCAACACUAGGUGAGGGUCUGAAAGUCAGACUGAGCCAUUACACCAAGGACAAGAAAGUUUGCAGAACUAGCAGAGACUGGCAGAGAAGCAGCAGGCGAGUGGCUACCACGGUGACAGCUGAGGCGGCCCAGAGGAGGAACUGCUAUGUUCCAUGCCACCUCAGCAGCUUGCUCUGGCCCGGUAGCCCGCACCCUGGGAAGCAGCAAGCGUUCCUGUCCCCCAGGAGUCCAGGAGGAGUGGGAGCAGGGAGGUCCAGUGCAAGGUGACCCCAGGGAAGGGACCGUACUCCGGUACCUCAUGUAGAAGAGUCUGUUCACUUCUGACAGGGUUCUUCCGAAUCUUCGGGCACCGAGAACAGCAUCUACAAGCAUGAGCCGCAAUUGUCGGCCCCGUGAGCCUCCCUCCGCCUCUUAUGAGAAGUCAGGAAGAGGCGUGCGGGUGUCCACCGCUGACUCAGUCUCCACGCUGACUGUUGGGGAAUCCGUUACACAUUCCAUCUGGUGGAUGGAUGGCGGGUGGCAGUUGGAGUGAGGGAGAUCAAGCUUGACUUUCGAAUAGGAGACGCAGGGGCUGGCAAGAUGGCUCGGCUGAUGAAGGCCCUGGCUGCCAAGUUCGAUCCCUGGAACUGACUCCUGUCAGCUGCUCUCUGAGAUCUCCACAGGCACUGUGGGUGGGGCACAGGCAAACACUUGCUAAAGUAAAUGAAUGCAAAAGCAACUUGAAGUAGUAAAAACACAAAACAAAAACAAACAAGCAAACAAAAAACGGGGGCCCCUGAGUUGCAUUGAAGCGUUUAGUCAACAAGGACACUUUUUACGUAAUUUUACAGACAUGCGAAUUUACCUGGGACUUCGUGUGAUGGGGAGAGUGAGGGAGACACCCAACCUUUUCACAUCUCACACACACACACACACACACACACACACACACACACACACACACACACACAGGAGAAAGGGUUGAUGAUGCUCCCCACACGUGGUCGUCUGAAUGAAAAUGUCCCCCAUAGUCUCGUGUAUCUGAAUACUUGGUCCCCAGCUAGAGGCUGUUUGGGGGAGGGUCUGGGGGUGUGGUUUUGUUGGAGGAGGUCACUGGGUUAGAACGUUGAGAUUUCAAAAGAACUCACAUCAUUUCUGAGUUAGUGCCCUCUGCCCCGUCCUGUGGCUUGAGAUGCGGCUUGAGCUGUGCCUGCUGCCAGGCUUUAGCUCUACCAUCAUAAAUGACAACUUUCUGGAACCUUCUGGAACCUUCUGGAACCACGGGCUUUCAUUUCUAAGUUGCUUCGGUCACACGGUGUUUCAUCACAACAACAGAAAAGCCUCACUGCACUUCAGCCAGACGAUAAACAAGCUCAAGUCAGUGAACCCAAACACACACGUUUGGCCGUCCCUGCCUUCCGUGCCUUCGUCUGAACAUUAAAAACUUGCUUCCAGAUUUCAGGAAUAACACGGUAGUUACCACAACAUUAAAGAUGUUUCAGGACAAGUGAAAUGAUUACACGCAGGCCCCCUGUGUACGCACCUACCAGGCCGCUAGCUCCCAACUCCACAGGGAGUCACCAGGGGGAAAAGCCGGGCAGUAGCCAGAGAAGGCAACACCGGGAAGCAAGACCAUGACUCUAAGAAGCGUUUCGUUAUUCACGAAUCCUUGGCUUUACCCAGGAUCACAUCCUGCUUACCUGUACAUCUGGAGAAACCUCAAACAUCGCAGGACGUCCCAUACGCCAUGCUUCAAUUGUUUCCUUCAGACUUCACUUUUUCCCAUGCACGUGUGUAUGAAUGCUUGCAUGCCUGUGGCACACUUCUGUGUGCAGGUGGAGGCCAGAGGCUGGCAUCGGGCGUCGCCCUUGGUUGCUCUCUACAGAACCCCGAGUUUGCUUACUUGUCUAGUCUAUUUACCCAGCUUGCCCCAGCGAUCCCGCCUCUAGGAGCACGGGCUAUGUGGGUGCUGGGAGCCAAACUCCAGUCCCCAUGCUCACACAGCAAGGGCUCUACCCACUGAGCCAUCUCUCCAGGCCCAUUUCUCUACUGUAAUUUAAAUAAUUAAACCGACUAUGGCCAUAAGCAGCCAAAAAUCUAACCUAAACUAACCCUGAACUUUAAAACAGGAGAAGUGUAUUCAACUGCACCACUCUCGGGCAAUUUCCACUCACUGAGUUAUACAUUAAAUUCAACACUAAUGUUUUCCCCGUAGGUUGGGAGUUUAACCUGCCUCCUUUGCCCCAGUUUUAAGCAGUCUCUUUAAGUCAUUUCCCUGUGGACUAGGGACAGUGGCACUGCGGGAAGCGGGUCUGGGGGCAGAUGGAGGCACCCGGUAACAACACCAUCAGCCCCCAGUGGAGCCA